rnacentral:rRNA from 1 species
UACGUAGGCAGCAAACGUUGUUCGGAGUUACUGGGCGUAAAGAGUAUGUAGGUGGUUGACCAAGUUUGGUGUGAAAUCUCCUGGCUUAACUGGGAGGGUGCGCCGAAUACUGGUUAGCUAGAGUAUGGGAGAGGGAAGCGGAAUUUCUGGUGUAGCGGUGAAAUGCGUAGAUAUCAGAAGGAACACCUGUGGUGUAGACGGCUUCCUGGACCAUAACUGACACUGAGAUACGAAAGCGUGGGUAGCAAACAGG